rnacentral:rRNA from 1 species
GUCCACGCCCUAACGAUGCAUAUUGGUGUGGGUCAUUCAGUUGAUCCGUGCCGGAGCUAACGCGUUAAAUAUGCCGCCUGGGGAGUACAGUCGCAAGGCUGAAACUCAAAGGAAUUGACGGGGCCCGCACAAGCGGUGGAGCAUGUGGUUCAAUUCGACGCAACGCGAAGAACCUUACCUGGGGCUCGAACGGCUGGUUAACGAUCGUGGAAACACGGUUACUCCGCAAGGAGGUCCAGUCGAGGUGCUGCAUGGCUGUCGU